rnacentral:snoRNA from 1 species
CCUCUCGAUGAAGAAGAGCUGGUCGAGCACAUCAUCACCAGCAUGGACCAAGAGUGCAUGCUAUUGGUGUCUGUUCUUACUGCAAGGGUAGAGAAGAUCUCACUAAAUAAGCUCCACUCUCAACUGCUAACCUACGAGA